GAUGAACGCUGGCGGCGUGCCUAAUACAUGCAAGUCGAGCGAACGGACGAGAAGCUUGCUUUUCUGAUGUUAGCGGCGGACGGGUGAGUAACACGUGGAUAACCUACCUAUAAGACUGGGAUAACUUCGGGAAACCGGAGCUAAUACCGGAUAAUAUUUUGAACCGCAUGGUUCAAAAGUGAAAGACGGUCUUGCUGUCACUUAUAGAUGGAUCCGCGCUGCAUUAGCUAGUUGGUAAGGUAACGGCUUACCAAGGCAACGAUGCAUAGCCGACCUGAGAGGGUGAUCGGCCACACUGGAACUGAGACACGGUCCAGACUCCUACGGGAGGCAGCAGUAGGGAAUCUUCCGCAAUGGGCGAAAGCCUGACGGAGCAACGCCGCGUGAGUGAUAAAGGUCUUCGGAUCGUAAAACUCUGUUAUUAGGGAAGAACAUAUGUGUAAGUAACUGUGCACAUCUUGACGGUACCUAAUCAGAAAGCCACGGCUAACUACGUG
rnacentral:rRNA from 1 species